rnacentral:rRNA from 1 species
AUUGAACGCUGGCGGCAUGCCUUACACAUGCAAGUCGAACGGUAACAGGUCUUCGGAUGCUGACGAGUGGCGAACGGGUGAGUAAUACAUCGGAACGUGCCCGAUCGUGGGGAUUACGAAACCAAAGCUUUGCUAAUACCGCCUACGGACUACGGAUGAAAGCAGGGGACCGCAAGGGCUUGCGCGAACCGAGCGGCCGAUGGCCGAUUAGGUAGUUGGUGGGAUAAAAGCUUACCAAGCCGACGAUCUGUAGCUGGUCUGAGAGGACGACCAGCCACACUGGGACUGAGACACGGCCCAGACUCCUACGGGAGGCAGCAGUGGGGAAUUUUGGACAAUGGGCGAAAGCCUGAUCCAGCCAUGCCGCGUGCAGGAUGAAGGCCUUCGGGUUGUAAACUGCUUUUGUACGGAACGAAAAGACUCUGGUUAAUACCUGGGGUCCAUGACGGUACCGUAAGAAUAAGCACCGGCUAACUACGUG